rnacentral:tRNA from 1 species
AGUUAAUGAACUUGUUUAAGUAUAUAUUUUGAAAAUAUAAAAAAGGAAAAUAAUUUCCUAUUAACUU